AGUUUCAGUAGAAGAAGUUCAAUGAUCCUUACAUUUGCAAGACCUUAUAUCCCCAAAAUCCCACCCAUACAUACUGUGCAAAGGUCAGUUAAGCGGUUCCUCAGCAACUGUUUCUAACUGAUUAAGUUAAAUCAUUUAUUGAUGACUACUGUUUUCUAUGUGUCCUCCGGCCUCAUCUCUGCUGCUUAGGCGCUGACUUCUGCAUUACAUGCUACAUACUGGACAUUCAGUUUUGAGGUGUCAGCCUAACUGUCCUUUGCACACUCACCCACAUACACAGUUCAGGUCAAAUAUCCAGAAACAACUCACUAGUUUCAGACACUUGAGUCAGCCCAAACAAGAUCACUCACAUGACACUUCAUUCUCUUAAUCAUAAUCAGGUUUUUGGAUUAAAUGUCAUUUUGUCUGAUCAGCUGAAAAAUACCUUUAAUAUUAAUAUUUACUGUUUCUUAACAGUAGUGAAAUCAUGUGUCAUGUUAUUUGAAGUCACUUUGUAGCCUUUUUAUGUAUUUUAGAAUGUUUUGGUGAUGUAAUGCUAAUGAUGUGACACACCUUAGCACCCAAUAAAACUGGACAAACAUGACAUCUUCAAAAAAAUGUUGUAAAGUACAUUGAGCCAACACUGACAU